rnacentral:rRNA from 1 species
GAUCCGUGCCGUAGCUAACGCAUUAAGUACCCCGCCUGGGGAGUACGGCCGCAAGGCUAAAACUCAAAGAAAUUGACGGGGGCCCGCACAAGCGGCGGAGCAUGUGGAUUAAUUCGAUGCAACGCGAAGAACCAUACCUGGGUUUGACAUGCACAGGACGCCGGCAGAGAUGUCGGUUCCCUUGUGGCCUGUGUGCAGGUGGUGCAUGGCUGUCGUCAGCUCGUGUCGUGAGAUGUUGGGUUAAGUCCCGCAACGAGCGCAACCCUUGUCUCAUGUUGCCAGCGGGUAAUGCCGGGGACUCGUGAGAGACUGCCGGGGUCAACUCGGAGGAAGGUGGGGAUGACGUCAAGUCAUCAUGCCCCUUAUGUCCAGGGCUUCACACAUGCUACAAUGGCCGGUACAAAGGGCUGCGAUGCCGCGAGGUUAAGCGAAUCCUUUUAAAGCCGGUCUCAGUUCGGAUCGGGGUCUGCAACUCGACCCCGUGAAGUCGGAGUCGCUAGUAAUCGCAGAUCAGCAACGCUGCGGUGAUACGUUCCCG